AUUGAACAAGUGUGGGAAUUGAAUCUAACUGACUUUCUGGAUUUAAGAAGCUACAUUUCAGGACCUCUGUAACGUUCCAGCAGGUUCUGUUGAGAAGAGCUCAGUGCAUUUCCAGAAACAGAAUCUCCAGCUCUGUUGGACAGAAGACUGGUCAUACGUCCGUCCGCCCCAUUCCCACCCAAGCCACAAGAGCACCCAGCAGAGACAUUCACAUGCGUCUCUCUGUGAAGUUGCACAUGCGACCUUCAAAGAAACCACAAAGGGGCUACUCAUUUUUAAAGGAAAAACACAUGAACUCCACUGGCAUAAGGAAGACAUUAAGACAGGGUUGAGAAGGAGAAGGUCUCCCUCCACUUAAUAUCACCUUUCACAGAAAUAACUGACUGAGCGAGCACACAGUUGUUUCAAAAAAAUAAAAAACAAAAAAUAAUUUUUAAAA